GCUCGAUUGGGGUAGUGGUAGCCCGCCAGGUUCUCAGCCUGGUAGUACGAGUUCGAUCCUCGUAUCGAGUG
rnacentral:tRNA from 1 species